rnacentral:snoRNA from 1 species
AUUCCAUGAUGGGGAUAUUCUUGGAAGCGCUCCCAUGCUUCUGGAACAGAUUCAUCAUGUUGUUGCAGAAAACUCGUAAUUUUCCCACGGAGAGC